UGCCUAAUACAUGCAAGUUGAGCGCUGAAGGUUGGUACUUGUACCAACUGGAUGAGCAGCGAACGGGUGAGUAACGCGUGGGGAAUCUGCCUUUGAGCGGGGGACAACAUUUGGAAACGAAUGCUAAUACCGCAUAAAAACUUUAAACACAAGUUUUAAGUUUGAAAGAUGCAAUUGCAUCACUCAAAGAUGAUCCCGCGUUGUAUUAGCUAGUUGGUGAGGUAAAGGCUCACCAAGGCGAUGAUACAUAGCCGACCUGAGAGGGUGAUCGGCCACAUUGGGACUGAGACACGGCCCAAACUCCUACGGGAGGCAGCAGUAGGGAAUCUUCGGCAAUGGACGAAAGUCUGACCGAGCAACGCCGCGUGAGUGAAGAAGGUUUUCGGAUCGUAAAACUCUGUUGGUAGAGAAGAACGUUGGUGAGAGUGGAAAGCUCAUCAAGUGACGGUAACUACCCAGAAAGGGACGGCUAACUACGUGCCAGCAGCCGCGGUAAUACGUAGGUCCCGAGCGUUGUCCGGAUUUAUUGGGCGUAAAGCGAGCGCAGGUGGUUUAUUAAGUCUGGUGUAAAAGGCAGUGGCUCAACCAUUGUAUGCAUUGGAAACUGGUAGACUUGAGUGCAGGAGAGGAGAGUGGAAUUCCAUGUGUAGCGGUGAAAUGCGUAGAUAUAUGGAGGAACACCGGUGGCGAAAGCGGCUCUCUGGCCUGUAACUGACACUGAGGCUCGAAAGCGUGGGGAGCAAACAGGAUUAGAUACCCUGGUAGUCCACGCCGUAAACGAUGAGUGCUAGAUGUAGGGAGCUAUAAGUUCUCUGUAUCGCAGCUAACGCAAUAAGCACUCCGCCUGGGGAGUACGACC
rnacentral:rRNA from 1 species